GACGAACGCUGGCGGCGUGCUUAACACAUGCAAGUCGAACGGAAAGGCCCUGCUUUUGUGGGGUGCUCGAGUGGCGAACGGGUGAGUAACAUGUGAGUAACCUGCCCUUGACUUUGGGAUAACUUCAGGAAACUGGGGCUAAUACCGGAUAGGAGCUCCUGCUGCAUGGUGGGGGUUGGAAAGUUUCGGCGGUUGGGGAUGGACUCGCGGCUUAUCAGCUUGUUGGUGGGGUAGUGGCUUACCAAGGCUUUGACGGGUAGCCGGCCUGAGAGGGUGACCGGCCACAUUGGGACUGGGAUACGGCCCAGACUCCUACGGGAGGCAGCAGUGGGGAAUAUUGCACAAUGGGCGGAAGCCUGAUGCAGCAACGCCGCGUGCGGGAUGACGGCCUUCGGGUUGUAAACCGCUUUCGCCUGUGACGAAGCGUGAGUGACGGUAAUGGGUAAAGAAGCACCGGCUAACUACGUG
rnacentral:rRNA from 1 species